GGGCCCGCACAAGCGGAGGAACAUGUGGUUUAAUUCGAUGAUACGCGAGGAACCUUACCCGGGCUCGAACGGCAUAUGAAGGCAGCAGAGAUGCGGCCGCCCCUCGGGGCAUAUGUCGAGGUGCUGCAUGGUUGUCGUCAGCUCGUGCCGUGAGGUGUCGGCUCAAGUGCCAUAACGAGCGCAACCCCUGCGUCCAGUUGCCAGCAAGCAGUGUUGGGGACUCUGGACGGACUGCCACCGCAAGGUGAGAGGAGGGGGGGGAUGACGUCAAAUCAGCACGGCCCUUACGUCCGGGGCGACACACGUGUUACAAUGGCGGCCACAGAGGGGCGCUACCCUGCGAAGGGAUGCCAAUCUCAAAAAGCCGUCUCAGUUCGGACUGGAGUCUGCAACCCGACUCCACGAAGCUGGAUUCGCUAGUAAUCGCGCAUCAGCCAUGGCGCGGUGAAUACGUUCCCGGGCCUU
rnacentral:rRNA from 1 species